AGAGCCCAGCACCGAAUCCUUCACCAUCUCGGUGACAGGAAAUGUGGUGUUUAGGCCGUACCUUGUCCCGACACGUCUCUCCUCAAGUCCACUUGAUUGUGGCCCCAGGCCCAGAGAGGGUGUAAGGCCCGUGGAGGCGAGACGUUCGGUACCUGGUGCGUCCUUAGAGUCGGGUUGUUUGGGAAUGCAGCCCUAAGCGGGUGGUAAACUCCAUCCAAGGCUAAAUACCAGCACGAGUCCGAUAGCGAAGAAGUACCGCGAGGGAAGGUUGAAAAGAACUUUGAAGAGAGAGUUCAAGAGUACGUGAAACCGCUGAGAGGCAAACUGGUGGAACUGAAAUGGUCCCGAGGAAUUCAGCCGUUGGUCGUUGCACAGUCUUUGGUGAUUGAUCUAACGACGGCGCCAUUGAAUGACGUUUCGAUCAUCGGUGCACUUUCCUCGCCUGGGCCCGACCACGACCGGUGAGCUGAUCUGUCUGUCGUGCUUGGAAGAUAGCGCCGUCUUCGGAAGGCGUGUUAUAGACAGGCAUACGGAGCAGUCGGCGCACUGGAUGAUAGUGCCUGCCCAUCUGGGCUCAUAUGGUGGUUGUUUUGUUGGCGAGUUCUGAUGUCACUACUUCGGUAGAGUCGUUAGACUCUGUUGGCAUUAUGGCUGUCCUCUAUGAUUGGCACUGUUAAGUCUGUGGUUGUGAAGUAGGUAGUCCACCUGACCCGUCUUGAAACACGGACCAAGGAGUCUAACAUGUGCGCGAGUCAUUGGGUUCACGAAACCUAAAGGCGCAGUGAAGGUAAAGAUCUGUUUUGGCAGAUUGAGGUGGGAUGCCGGGUUACGCGCCCGGCCGCACUACCGGCCCGUUCUAUAUGUCUUUCAUAGGAGCGGAGCAAGAGCGUACACGUUGGGACCCGAAAGAUGGUGAACUAUGCUUGCGCAGGUCGAAGCC
rnacentral:rRNA from 1 species